UUGUAAUUUGUAGAGAGUGUUUCGGGUGAGGCCNCGGUNUAAGUCCAUUGGAACAUGGCGUCAUAGAGGGUGAGAAUCCCGUAUGUGACCGUGGAUCGAGCCCAUGUGAAGCCUCUUCGACGAGUCGAGUUGUUUGGGAAUGCAGCUCAAAAUGGGUGGUAAAUUUCAUCUAAAGCUAAAUACUGGCUGGAGACCGAUAGCGCACAAGUAGAGUGAUCGAAAGAUGAAAAGCACUUUGGAAAGAGAGUGAAACAGUACGUGAAAUUGUUGAAAGGGAAGCGCUUGCAACCAGACCUGCCCGUAGGCGAUCAGCCGCUGUUCUCAGUGGUGCACUCGCUCUGCGAUCAGGCCAGCAUCGGUUUCGGCGGUCGGAUAAAGGCCUUGGGAAUGUAGCUUCCUUUCGGGGGAGUCUUAUAGCCCUCGGUGCAAUGCGGCCAGCCGGGACCGAGGACCGCGCUUCGGCUAGGAUGCUGGCGUAAUGGUUGUCAGCGACCCGUCUUGNAACNCGGACCAAGGAGUCUAACAUCUAUGCAAGUGUUUGGGUGUUAAACCCAUGCGCGGAAUGAAAGUGAACGGAGGUGAGAACCCUUAAGGGCGCAUCAUCGACCGAUCCAGAUGUCUUCGGAUGGAUUUGAGUAUGAGCAUAGCUGUUGGGACCCGAAAGAUGGUGAACUAUGCCUGAAUAGGGUGAAGCCAGAGGAAACUCUGGUGGAGGCUCGCAGCGGUUCUGACGUGCAAAUCGAUCGUCAAAUUUGGGCAUAGGGGCGAAAGACUAAUCG
rnacentral:rRNA from 1 species